rnacentral:rRNA from 1 species
UACGGAGGGUGCAAGCGUUGUCCGGAUUUAUUGGGUUUAAAGGGUGCGUAGGCGGCUUUUUAAGUCUGGGGUGAAAGCCCGUUGCUCAACAACGGAACUGCCCUGGAAACUGGAGAGCUUGAGUACAGACGAGGUUGGCGGAAUGGAGGGUGUAGCGGUGAAAUGCAUAGAUACCCUCCAGAACCCCGAUUGCGAAGGCAGCUGACUAGGCUGUAACUGACGCUGAGGCACGAAAGCGUGGGGAGCGAACAGG